UGGGACUGCCGGUGACAAACCGGAGGAAGGUGGGGAUGACGUCAAGUCCUCAUGGCCCUUAUGGGUAGGGCUUCACACGUCAUACAAUGGUCGGUACAGAGGGUUGCCAAGCCGCGAGGUGGAGCCAAUCCCUUAAAGCCGAUCGUAGUCCGGAUCGUAGUCUGCAACUCGACUACGUGAAGUCGGAAUCGCUAGUAAUCGCAGAUCAGCAUGCUGCGGUGAAUACGUUCCCGGGUCUU
rnacentral:rRNA from 1 species